GAAAGUAGAGGUUGCGUCAAUCAACAGUAAGCGGGCGGAUGCGGCAGAAGCAGGAGAAGCGUGCUGAAAGGGAACGACGCCGAAGAACUGCGUUUUCUGCAGAGGCAGUUUCUGGGCAUAUGGUGAAGAAUCAUAUGACUGUCAUCAGUUUGAUGGAGAGCUACG
rnacentral:ncRNA from 1 species